UCUCAGCUCCAGUAGGAGAGGAUUGCUUUUAAACUACUCACGCCUGCUGUGUCGUGUCUGGAGUCGGAGCUGAGCGGAACCGCCGGCAGGGCACGUGUGACAGGAGCCGCAGUUGCAGUGCUAUGGGAGUAUUAGGACAAAGAGACCUCUGGACUCAUGAGCUCUCCCGGAAGAAGCCAGCCACUGGCCUUGCACUGAAACACAUCCAUUUACUAGAAGGAAGAUUAACUCUCUCAGUAAGGGGUCAGGCAGCCAGCAAGCCUGUUGUUUCUCUCAAGUCCAUGCCUGAUGCUGCAGGGACACAUGGGGCAAUGUGCAGCCAAAGAAUGACAUCAGCAUUUGGCUGGCACGAGCAGGGGAGUUAACGUAGCCAAAAGCUGUUCCAC
rnacentral:lncRNA from 1 species